GUUUUAAUAAUUUAAGAAAAAAUACUAGUCUUGUAAACUAGAAAUAAGUUAUCUUUUAAAACU
rnacentral:tRNA from 1 species